rnacentral:rRNA from 1 species
GGGUUGUGAGGUUAAGCGACUAAGCGUACACGGUGGAUGCCCUGGCAGUCAGAGGCGAUGAAGGACGUGCUAAUCUGCGAUAAGCGUCGGUAAGGUGAUAUGAACCGUUAUAACCGGCGAUUUCCGAAUGGGGAAACCCAGUGUGUUUCGACACACUAUCAUUAACUGAAUCCAUAGGUUAAUGAGGCGAACCGGGGGAACUGAAACAUCUAAGUACCCCGAGGAAAAGAAAUCAACCGAGAUUCCCCCAGUAGCGGCGAGCGAACGGGGAGCAGCCCAGAGCCUGAAUCAGUGUGUGUGUUAGUGGAAGCGUCUGGAAAGGCGCGCGAUACAGGGUGACAGCCCCGUACACAAAAAUGCACAUGCUGUGAGCUCGAUGAGUAGGGCGGGACACGUGGUAUCCUGUCUGAAUAUGGGGGGACCAUCCUCCAAGGCUAAAUACUCCUGACUGACCGAUAGUGAACCAGUACCGUGAGGGAAAGGCGAAAAGAACCCCGGCGAGGGGAGUGAAAAAGAACCUGAAACCGUGUACGUACAAGCAGUGGGAGCACGCUUAGGCGUGUGACUGCGUACCUUUUGUAUAAUGGGUCAGCGACUUAUAUUCUGUAGCAAGGUUAACCGAAUAGGGGAGCCGAAGGGAAACCGAGUCUUAACUGGGCGUUAAGUUGCAGGGUAUAGACCCGAAACCCGGUGAUCUAGCCAUGGGCAGGUUGAAGGUUGGGUAACACUAACUGGAGGACCGAACCGACUAAUGUUGAAAAAUUAGCGGAUGACUUGUGGCUGGGGGUGAAAGGCCAAUCAAACCGGGAGAUAGCUGGUUCUCCCCGAAAGCUAUUUAGGUAGCGCCUCGUGAAUUCAUCUCCGGGGGUAGAGCACUGUUUCGGCAAGGGGGUCAUCCCGACUUACCAACCCGAUGCAAACUGCGAAUACCGGAGAAUGUUAUCACGGGAGACACACGGCGGGUGCUAACGUCCGUCGUGAAGAGGGAAACAACCCAGACCGCCAGCUAAGGUCCCAAAGUCAUGGUUAAGUGGGAAACGAUGUGGGAAGGCCCAGACAGCCAGGAUGUUGGCUUAGAAGCAGCCAUCAUUUAAAGAAAGCGUAAUAGCUCACUGGUCGAGUCGGCCUGCGCGGAAGAUGUAACGGGGCUAAACCAUGCACCGAAGCUGCGGCAGCGACACUGUGUGUUGUUGGGUAGGGGAGCGUUCUGUAAGCCUGUGAAGGUGUACUGUGAGGUAUGCUGGAGGUAUCAGAAGUGCGAAUGCUGACAUAAGUAACGAUAAAGCGGGUGAAAAGCCCGCUCGCCGGAAGACCAAGGGUUCCUGUCCAACGUUAAUCGGGGCAGGGUGAGUCGACCCCUAAGGCGAGGCCGAAAGGCGUAGUCGAUGGGAAACAGGUUAAUAUUCCUGUACUUGGUGUUACUGCGAAGGGGGGACGGAGAAGGCUAUGUUGGCCGGGCGACGGUUGUCCCGGUUUAAGCGUGUAGGCUGGUUUUCCAGGCAAAUCCGGAAAAUCAAGGCUGAGGCGUGAUGACGAGGCACUACGGUGCUGAAGCAACAAAUGCCCUGCUUCCAGGAAAAGCCUCUAAGCAUCAGGUAACAUCAAAUCGUACCCCAAACCGACACAGGUGGUCAGGUAGAGAAUACCAAGGCGCUUGAGAGAACUCGGGUGAAGGAACUAGGCAAAAUGGUGCCGUAACUUCGGGAGAAGGCACGCUGAUAUGUAGGUGAAGUCCCUUGCGGAUGGAGCUGAAAUCAGUCGAAGAUACCAGCUGGCUGCAACUGUUUAUUAAAAACACAGCACUGUGCAAACACGAAAGUGGACGUAUACGGUGUGACGCCUGCCCGGUGCCGGAAGGUUAAUUGAUGGGGUUAGCGCAAGCGAAGCUCUUGAUCGAAGCCCCGGUAAACGGCGGCCGUAACUAUAACGGUCCUAAGGUAGCGAAAUUCCUUGUCGGGUAAGUUCCGACCUGCACGAAUGGCGUAAUGAUGGCCAGGCUGUCUCCACCCGAGACUCAGUGAAAUUGAACUCGCUGUGAAGAUGCAGUGUACCCGCGGCAAGACGGAAAGACCCCGUGAACCUUUACUAUAGCUUGACACUGAACAUUGAGCCUUGAUGUGUAGGAUAGGUGGGAGGCUUUGAAGUGUGGACGCCAGUCUGCAUGGAGCCGACCUUGAAAUACCACCCUUUAAUGUUUGAUGUUCUAACGUGGACCCGUGAUCCGGGUUGCGGACAGUGUCUGGUGGGUAGUUUGACUGGGGCGGUCUCCUCCUAAAGAGUAACGGAGGAGCACGAAGGUUGGCUAAUCCUGGUCGGACAUCAGGAGGUUAGUGCAAUGGCAUAAGCCAGCUUGACUGCGAGCGUGACGGCGCGAGCAGGUGCGAAAGCAGGUCAUAGUGAUCCGGUGGUUCUGAAUGGAAGGGCCAUCGCUCAACGGAUAAAAGGUACUCCGGGGAUAACAGGCUGAUACCGCCCAAGAGUUCAUAUCGACGGCGGUGUUUGGCACCUCGAUGUCGGCUCAUCACAUCCUGGGGCUGAAGUAGGUCCCAAGGGUAUGGCUGUUCGCCAUUUAAAGUGGUACGCGAGCUGGGUUUAGAACGUCGUGAGACAGUUCGGUCCCUAUCUGCCGUGGGCGCUGGAGAACUGAGGGGGGCUGCUCCUAGUACGAGAGGACCGGAGUGGACGCAUCACUGGUGUUCGGGUUGUCAUGCCAAUGGCACUGCCCGGUAGCUAAAUGCGGAAGAGAUAAGUGCUGAAAGCAUCUAAGCACGAAACUUGCCCCGAGAUGAGUUCUCCCUGACCCUUUAAGGGUCCUGAAGGAACGUUGAAGACGACGACGUUGAUAGG